UACGUAGGUGACAAGCGUUGUCCGGAUUUACUGGGCGUAAAGCGCGUGUAGGCGGCCUGGUAAGUCGGUCGUGAAAGCCCUUGGCUUAACCAAGGAACUGCGAUCGAAACUGCUGGACUAGAGUAUCGGAGGGGGUGGCGGAAUUCCCGGUGUAGAGGUGAAAUUCGUAGAUAUCGGGAGGAACACCUGUGGCGAAGGCGGCCACCUGGAAGAUUACUGACGCUGAGACGCGAAAGCGUGGGGAGCAAACAGG
rnacentral:rRNA from 1 species